rnacentral:rRNA from 1 species
AGAAUCAACGCUGGCGGCGUGCCUAACACAUGCAAGUCGAACGAGAAAGUGGAGCAAUCCAUGAGUAAAGUGGCGCACGGGUGAGUAACACGUGACUAACCUACCCUUGAGUGGGGAAUAACUUCGGGAAACCGAGGCUAAUACCGCAUAACACCUACGGGUCAAAGGAGCAAUUCGCUUAAGGAGGGGGUCGCGGCAGAUUAGUUAGUUGGCAGGGUAAUGGCCUACCAAGACGGUGAUCUGUAUCCGGCCUGAGAGGGCGCACGGACACACUGGAACUGAAACACGGUCCAGACUCCUACGGGAGGCAGCAGUGGGGAAUUUUGCGCAAUGGGGGAAACCCUGACGCAGCAACGCCGCGUGGAGGAUGAAGUCCUUCGGGACGUAAACUCCUUUCGAUCGGGACGAUAAUGACGGUACCGGAAGAAGAAGCCCGGCUAACUUCGUGCCAGCAGCCGC